UACGUAGGGUGCAAGCGUUUGUCCCGGAAUUAUUGGGGCGUAAAGAGCUCGUAGGCGGUCUGUCGCGUCUGCCGUGAAAGCCCAGGGCUUAACCCUGGGUCUGCGGUGGGUACGGGCAGACUAGAGUGUGGUAGGGGAGACUGGAAUUCCUGGUGUAGCGGUGAAAUGCGCAGAUAUCAGGAGGAACACCGGUGGCGAAGGCGGGUCUCUGGGCCGAUACUGACGCUGGAGGAGCGAAAGCGUGGGGAGCAAACAGG
rnacentral:rRNA from 1 species